CCUACUGGACGCAGCAGUGAGGAAUAUUGGUCAAUGGGAGAGAUCCUGAACCAGCCAAGCCGCGUGAGGGAAGACGGCCCUAUGGGUUGUAAACCUCUUUUGUCGGAGAACAAAACCCGGGACGUGUCCCGGACUGCGUGUAUCCGAAGAAAAAGCAUCGGCUAACUCCGUGCCAGCAGCCGCGGUAAUACGUAGGGGGCGAGCGUUAUCCGGAUUUACUGGGUGUAAAGGGAGCGUAGACGGUUCUGCAAGUCUGAAGUGAAAGCCCGUGGCUUAACCGCGGAACGGCUUUGGAAACUGUGGAA
rnacentral:rRNA from 1 species